GAUUGGCUGCUAUGGGCAGUGGGGGAAUCGUGUUACCAUUCUACAGCAGCAACAUGGGUAGGUAACUUGGCAGCUGGAUCAGGGUGGGACGAGAGGCUUGCAGUUCAUUGUUAUAUGCCAUCUUCAUUAGUAGUAUUGCACCGUCCAUUAACACCCCACAGCAUCCUUGGACAGAUGUUGUGAACAAUAGUCAGGUAGUUGUUUUAUACUAGGGA